UACGUAGGUGGCAAGCGUUGUCCGGAAUCACUGGGCGUAAAGCGCGCGCAGGCGGCGAUCUACGUCUGGGGUGAAAGCCCGGAGCUCAACUCCGGGACUGCCUUGGAUACGGGAUCGCUUGAGGAUUGGAGAGGCAAGGGGAAUUCCACGUGUAGCGGUGAAAUGCGUAGAUAUCAGGAGGAAUACCGGUGGCGAAAGCGACUCUCUGGACGGCAACUGACGCUGAGGCACGAAAGCGUGGGGAGCAAACAGG
rnacentral:rRNA from 1 species